GGACCACUCCUUACAGGAGUCGAGGCCAUACGGACAGCCGGGUCCACUGCCGA
rnacentral:sRNA from 12 species